GAAGUGAAGUAUAUUGAUAAAUGCAGCAUGCCAUAUACAUUGCAUGGUUCACUUGCAUCUGAAGUUUUGUCGUGACCUAUGGUCCGACCGUACCGGUACAACUUAGCAUCGUACGUUGCCCGAGGAGGGGUACGAUGCGGCUUCAUACCCUUAGAGGUAUGAAGGCAGAGGACAUAUGCAUUGCAUUCAUAUGCAUUCAUUGAAGUGAUAUUUGCAGAUGGUGUGGUUUUAUACUCUAAGAGGUAUGAACGCAGUGGACUUACACAUUGCAUUCCUAUGCAUACAUUGAAGUGAUAUUUGCAGGUAUUGUUGACGCAGGAAAGUGUUAUACAACCUAUUGUGGUUGUUCGAGGAAAUGAGAUAGCAUUGGUUAUUUUGGGACUAUUGAGUUCUAUAUCUACAAGUAUUUCUGAUCUCAAUUGUGAUCCCUUUAAAAUGUUGAUUAAUUCAAUAUUUUUUGGUUUAAAUAUCUCGUCAAAACAAUUUACUUGCUGAGAUGUUUUCAUCUCACUCUUGCAUUACUCAAUGCAGGUACUUGAUUCAUGUUGGGAAUGAGGGAAGUAGCAGCACAUCCACCUUCACUCUCAUAAUAACGCUGCCAAGGCAUAGCCAUGAUUUAAUUAGAAACUUCUUGUCAAGGAUGUUGUUUUUUAACUAGUCGUGCACACUAGUUAAUUCAGUUUAUGUCGUUAUGGUUAUCUUCCCAUUGCUAGCAGAUUAUUAAUGUCUAGUAUGUUUUCUUAUCAUGAUAUCUGUUUAUACUCUAUUGCUUCCACGUUUAUGCAAAUUUUCAAAGGAGAUGCUGUCAAAAUUUUAUAUAUGAAUGUUAGUUGUGUAGUUUAGUAGCAUUUUGGGGUGUUUGUGGAUCCCGGGGUGUUACAGUUGGUAUCAAAGCAUAGGCUUUAGAUUCUUGGCAAUUUGAAGAUAAAUUUGACACACUUGCACAUAUAGGAAGGGUAUGGGUUCAAAUAUCUUUGAUAUAUGUUAAUGUCUUUGAAGUACAGAUGAAAUGAUUUCACCCUCCCUAUUCCUUUACGGUGAUGUGGUAAGUUGUUAUAACUUAAUGCCUAAUAUAAUUCAUUUCUAAAUUUUGAUAUUGUUUUAUUAAUACGAAUGAUAUCGCUGGUCUUUUGUGAGAUUGAAGUUGUUAUUAUGCUUGUGAUAUACAUGUAUGCCUAUGUUGUUGUCAACAUGUUUUUCAUGGUUGAGUUCUAUUACAAUAAUAUUGUUAUAUAUGUUGGAUUGAGGAUGUUUCUAAGAGGAGUGUGAAUUGCGUGUUUUGGGUUACAAGGUAACCAUCGAUUUGGAUUUAAGUUGUUGGGAGGUUGGUGGAUAGCUCCAACUAUCUUUGCAAGGAAUGAUUGUUUAUGUCGAGAAAUCAGUUCUAAAAGAAAUGAAUAUUGGUACUUUAUAUGGAUUUUUGGGGGAAGUCUUUACAUAGCCAGAAUGGCUUACAUGUCUCACUUCUAUUGUGUGUUUUAGUAGCCACAAAGCCUAGAUGUGGUUUAAAGUGGUUGCAUGUUAGUCAUGCUAAUUGUAGAAUAAAUCUUUGAUUUUCUUGAUCCAUUGAUUAUAUAUUAAUACGUUGAGGAUCUGAUGGUUAUCUCCCUGAUGCAUGCUUGUGGAGCCAUUGUUGGACCACUUAUCUAUUGGUUUGAAUGAAGUCAUUGCCUAGCCUAGAGUUGGUUGGGUGUGGUUAGUCACCUAUUCCUGAAUGAUGUGGUUUUUACAUCAACUUGAGAUGUUCGUCAAAUGUGUGAAGGUUUACGGGGUUAUUAUUGACCCUGUAUGUCUGGUACUUUGAGUGCAUUGUAUGAUAGAAUGAAAUGUAAGUUUCUGAACUACAGUAGAUGAAGACUUAUAUUAUGUGUAGGUUAACCUUACUAGUUUGGAUAUUUUUCUUAGUUGAGUUUUGGAUGAAGUAUAGUGACAUUGAUUAAGCAAGUAUUGUGUUGUUGUUGUGCUGUCAGUGCUCUUUGUGGAGUUUUGGCAUUUCUUCGAUGAACUGUGCCGCGCAGAAUGUUAUUGGCUUCUUGUCGGCUUUAUUGCUCCAUUAGUUCUAUAGACUUUCUCCCUUUUGUGGGGUGCAAAGAAUGUGAGAUUACAUGAUUAUCUUUUAUGAUGGCAAGAAAAAGGUUUAGGAAGAUUAGGAGUUUUGUUUCGAUAGAACCACUUGUUUUAUGGUGCUUUGAGGUGAGGUGUUUGAUCAUCUUAUACAUUCAUCUGGUGUGGAUGUUUCACCAUUGAAUUAAAAUGAAUUGUUGAAGCUGGUAAGGGUUGUGCUUAGUGCAUAUUACCCCUUCAUAAAAGAGUGUUGUUUGAAUACAUUGAUGUUGAUGUAUAGCUGCAUUCAAAUUCGAAGGUGUGAAAUCGUAGUGUUGAUUGCAUCUAUGACUUGCUUUGAGCUUCAUUGCAUGUUGCUUCAUGUUGGAUAUCAGGUUGUGUAGUUUCCUUAGACAAUUAGUCCGAGGUAGAAGUCCUUGUGUUAAUUAAGACCAUUAAUGGAUUUAUGUUUUGAAUGGUGGUGCUAUAUGGGGUACCUUGGAUGCUUUGCUUGGAGUGGUCGAAUUCGAGGACGAAUUCUUUUUAAGGGGGGUAGAGUGUGAUACCCCAAUUUUCUGAAAAGAAGUUAAAUUUCUUUUUCUCUUUUCUUCCAUGUUAUGUCGCAUUGGGGUUUGGAGUUUCGGGAGGCAUACAUCAGGGAAACAGUAGAUCUUUUGGCAUUUUUUCUGCUGGGGUCAGGAGCUCAGAUGGGAGAGCGAGUUCGGGCCAUUGAUCUCGAUCCGAUGGAUGGGAGCCCCCCUCUCCUCCUCAACCCUAGCCGACCCCCUCUCCCUCUCCCCAAUUGUGGCAGCCGCCCCCUCCCUCUUCCUCUCCUCCCCAUUUGCAGCUGCCCUCUACCCUCUCCACAACUUCCUCCUCCCUCUAGAUCUCCCCCCACGCAGCAAGGAUCGAGAAGAGGAGGAGCACGUUGAAAUGAAGAGGAAGAGAGGAUCAAGGAGAUGUUCUACCCCAUCUUUUCUUGCAGUUUUUCUUGGGGAAACCCUAGGUAAGGAUAAGAUCCAUGUUCCUCCCUGUAAUUAUGUGUUUUUGGAGGUUGUGAAUCAUGGGGAUUGAAGGAUUAGAGGUUGGAUUAGAUGGGUGAUUAGUUUUUGAUCUCGAAAUUAGUUUCUGCAGAAUGGCAGAUUUGAUAGUUUCUGUUCAUACCAGUUUUCCGUGCCCUUAGUGGCCUCAAAAAAAUAAAAAGUAUAUCUAUGAGUCGUAGAUAAUUUGUAGAUCUUUCCGUGGCCGUAAAGAACACCCCAAUCGGAUAUUAGAUCAGAAAGUUAUUGCAGUUUGAUUAUAUCAGUUUUUCAGUCUCACAAUUCUGUGUAGAAUCUGUUCUCUUAAGAUUUAGGCAAUUUUAUCAACAGAAUUAAACUUUAGAUUGGUAAAAGAAGUUGUAGAUAAUUUCAUAAGCUUUCCAGAUUGUUAAAGAGGGCAUUCAUAUGAAUUUUGAAACUCCAGUUAUGUUUGUUUUACUGUGGCUGUUCCUGUUUGCCUGACAAAAAUGAGCGGGUCUGUUCACUGGUAGAUUUCAUCUAGUAAAUGGCCGAAUUGGCUCUUCCAACUAUGGAGACUUUUGUAGAGGGACAAAAGUUCUUACUGCCAGCAGAAUUUCAUAAUUUUUGGUUGAAUAGUUUGGGAGAUAUCAAAUUAUGAAGUUAACUAUGCUGCUGUCUGAAACAGAUUCAGUCAAUUAUCUUGUCAGAUGUUUUAGAACUUAUAGAUGGUAAAAUUUAAUUAUCCAUUGAAUACCGAAGUUGUAGAGUAUUUUGUGUAGAAACUCGUAGAGUAUUUGUUUGAUAUCACUACUGUUAUAAUUUUAAAGAUACAAAAUUAACAAACAGCACUGCUGCUGUUUGGCAUGUGGUUCAGGGUGGGAGUCAUUCCACCGAGUCUUGGUUUCAAGUGUAGGAGCGAUUUGUUGAUUGUUGGCAAAUGUUUGUGAAAUAUUUGUACUAAGUUUUAUGCCCUGCAGCAGGUGUCUACACUCUGGAUCAUGCCUAGUACAUUUUUGUUCUUCGAUGAAGGCAAGUGGAUGUAGCGGUGGUUGCUACCGUUUUGACUUGUUGUUUCAUCGCCUACACUCUAAUACUCAGAAUCAUCGAAUUCUUUCAUAAUUGAACUCUAUGGUGAUGCUUUACUUGAUUGUAUUAUAUUGAUGCUUAAUCAUAUAUUGAUGAUGAUGAUGAUUCGAGUAUGACCCACGAGAUUAAUUCACACCCCUGAAGGUGAAUGAAGUAUUAUUUGAGGUUUGUAUUGUAUCUGAAGGUAAACGAAGUAUUAUUUGAGGUUUGUAUUGUAUAUGAAGGAAGUGAAGUAUAUUGAUAAAUGCAGCAUGCCAUAUACAUUGCAUGGUUCACUUGCAUCUGAAGUUUUGUCGUGACCUAUGGUCCGACCGUACCGGUACAACUUAGCAUCGUACGUUGCCCGAGGAGGGGUACGAUGCGGCUUCAUACCCUUAGAGGUAUGAAGGCAGAGGACAUAUGCAUUGCAUUCAUAUGCAUUCAUUGAAGUGAUAUUUGCAGAUGGUGUGGUUUUAUACUCUAAGAGGUAUGAACGCAGUGGACUUACACAUUGCAUUCCUAUGCAUACAUUGAAGUGAUAUUUGCAGGUAUUGUUGACGCAGGAAAGUGUUAUACAACCUAUUGUGGUUGUUCGAGGAAAUGAGAUAGCAUUGGUUAUUUUGGGACUAUUGAGUUCUAUAUCUACAAGUAUUUCUGAUCUCAAUUGUGAUCCCUUUAAAAUGUUGAUUAAUUCAAUAUUUUUUGGUUUAAAUAUCUCGUCAAAACAAUUUACUUGCUGAGAUGUUUUCAUCUCACUCUUGCAUUACUCAAUGCAGGUACUUGAUUCAUGUUGGGAAUGAGGGAAGUAGCAGCACAUCCACCUUCACUCUCAUAAUAACGCUGCCAAGGCAUAGCCAUGAUUUAAUUAGAAACUUCUUGUCAAGGAUGUUGUUUUUUAACUAGUCGUGCACACUAGUUAAUUCAGUUUAUGUCGUUAUGGUUAUCUUCCCAUUGCUAGCAGAUUAUUAAUGUCUAGUAUGUUUUCUUAUCAUGAUAUCUGUUUAUACUCUAUUGCUUCCACGUUUAUGCAAAUUUUCAAAGGAGAUGCUGUCAAAAUUUUAUAUAUGAAUGUUAGUUGUGUAGUUUAGUAGCAUUUUGGGGUGUUUGUGGAUCCCGGGGUGUUACAGAAAUGGAGCCUCAGAUUGUUUAGAUCCCUGUGUUUACCCAUGCCUCAACAAUUCCUUGUCAUAAUUACCAUGGAUCGACGGUGAAUUAGAUCCUUCUUUGCCCUGCUGCAGUGUGCCUUUGUUUAUGACUACUACACAAUUGAAUUAGUUCAUCUUAUGUUAAUUCAAAAUUACCUUCCUGGCAUUUUGAUCUUAGCCUCGACUUCAAGACUAAUAGACACUUGAUCGUAGGUUGAUUUUUACAGUCUGUUGCUCACCAGUAAAGUGCAUGAGUCACUGAGGUGUCCUCUAAUGCUGAAUUUCUGAUUGCAUGCGUGCUGACUUUGUCGUUAUCUCGCUAAUGCAGGCUAAGCCCACAAAGAGUGCGAAUGGGCAGGUCUGCCAGAUUUGUGUUGACUCUAUAUGUGUUUCAGCCACUGGCGAUGUCUUUGUUGCCUGCAAUGAGUGUGCCUUCCCUGUCUGCCGCCCAUGCUAUGAGUAUGAGCGCGAGGGGGACCAAUGCUGCCCCCAGUACAAGACUAGAUACAAGAGACAAAAAUGUUGGUUUCCUGGCAACUUCUUUGAGUGUGUGUAACUUGUAUGAAGCUAGCAUGACGGAGUUCACAUCACAUGCUUACUUUACGUGAAUAAAAGGUUCCAGGCUUGCAGCAUAGUGGAUAUGCCUUAUGAUAAUGACAUUCGACAGCCUAGAUUAAGCCAUCUACUUCAUUUUAUUCUCUAUAACAGUAAUUAAUGAAUUCUUCUUACUUCCUCUGCACCUACAACUAUGACGGGGACUACAAGGACAAGGAUGGUGUCAAGGGCCUGUGCGUCGUGGGCGCCAUCAACAACUAUACCUCCCAGCUCCCCACCUAUGGGAGAUCUUCUCCCCCAUAAUUGCAGAUAAUAUAACACAAGCGCUCAUGUUCCUCUCGCACUUCAUCAGAGACAUACACUAGGUAGUACAAACCGCAAGCAAGGUUUGAUGUGCUCUAUUUGGUGUGUUUGAUCAGAUCAACAAUGUGGCUGAUCGCUCAUGCUACUGACUGCUAACACAACUACUACCUGUACUCCAUAGCCACUUCACUCCGACAAAGGAGGGAACACCGUCGACUUCCACUGGAACCUGGAUGCUAGGGCAUGCUCAGUUUUGUUCACUAAUUGCCCGGUUUGGAACGCCAGCAUCAUCUAGCCGACUAAAGACGACUUCUAUGGAGACAGCGUAGCCGGUUACAUCGACACACUGAAGGAAAACAUAAUGAUAUGGAACUAGGAUAAGAGUUUUCUAUAGAUAGAGAGAAAGAGAGAAGCUAAAUGUUAAUUAUUCAGACCUUUAUUCGCUCGGUAGCACAGAGAAUGGUCGGAGAAGUGUCCAGCUGGGAAGCAUGCGGCAAGAACCAGACUGUAUGUCCAGAUAUGUAUAUAUGCUUUGCUUCACAUUCAGAUUUUUUGUGCUUGGGCAUUUAAUUGAUCUUUGUAUGUUGUUGCAUCGAGUGUUUUUUUCGUUGAUUA